AGCGCUGAAAGCAUCUAAGCGCGAAGCCAACUUCAAGAUAAGAUUUCCCACCGCAAGGGUAAGACCCCAGAAAGACUAUCUGGUUGAUAGGUCGAAGGUGUAAGUGCAGCAAUGUAUUUAGCUUAUCGAUACUAAUAGGUCGAGGACUUGACCAAUAUUUAUU
rnacentral:rRNA from 1 species